rnacentral:rRNA from 1 species
CCUACGGGAGGCAGCAGUAGGGAAUAUUGCUCAAUGGGGGAAACCCUGAAGCAGCAACGCCGCGUGAGUGAAGAAGUAUUUCGGUAUGUAAAGCUCUAUCAGCAGGGAAGAAAUAGCGACCUUUGGGUCGCCAGACGGUACCUGAUUAAGAAGCCCCGGCUAACUACGUGCCAGCAGCCGCGGUAAUACGUAGGGGGCAAGCGUUAUCCGGAUUUACUGGGUGUAAAGGGAGCGUAGACGGCAGCGCAAGUCUGAAGUGAAAUGCCGGGGCUUAACCCCGGAACUGCUUUGGAAACUGUGCAGCUAGAGUGCAGGAGAGGUAAGUGGAAUUCCUAGUGUAGCGGUGAAAUGCGUAGAUAUUAGGAGGAACACCAGUGGCGAAGGCGGCUUACUGGACUGUAACUGACGUUGAGGCUCGAAAGCGUGGGGAGCAAACAGGAUUAGAUACCCGAGUAGUC